GACCCACCGCUGUUUCAUGCCCAAGAUAACUCAGAAGGCAACCUCAGGAGCUCUGGACCCAAACCUUGCAAAGUCAGUAGUUGUCACUGUGAUGCAAAGUCCUCUCCCUGCAAGGUGGGACUAGGCUGCCUCCUCACAGCCCUUCCCUCGGAGAGAAAGCCUCUUGAGACCAGGCUGCGGAGCUCUGGAGAUUCAGCACGGGACUACAGAACUGCUGCUCUCAGUUCAGCCACUUCUGUCCUGGCACGUGGGAGACAUGAUUCUGUCACAUCAAGUCCUGUCUGUUUGCUGGAAAGGAAUAAUACAAGUUUGUAUAAUCAUUGCCUUGGUGGCAACAGGAGCUACAGUGACUUCGAAGGAUGUCGUCCUCUUUGCCGCUUUCCCAGUUCGACUGUCCCGACAAAUGACCUGCAUUGUGGUGCCACUGUGGCAUUAGUGCUAGCAUUUCACACAGUCAGAAGCUCAGCCUGCAUAGAGUCCUGUGAGGCAUGAAGGGUAAAUGCAGUUUCACUCAGCCUGGUUGACCUCAGCCCCACAGCUAACACAACACAGUCAGGCCGCGGGUCCCUCACUGCGGCAUUCUCAACCCCUGGGUUGCCACCCAUUUGCAGCCCCUAUAUCCAAAACCAUUUACAUUAUGAUUUAUAACAGUAGCAGCAUUAGUUGUGAAAUAGCAAAGAUUUUAUGGUUGGGGGUUACCACCACAAAGGGUCGCAGCAGCAGGAAGUUUGAGAACCCUGCACCACAGGGUCCAUCUCACACCUGCCUCUGCCACCAUUGUUCCCAAAACUGACUGGAAACUGAGCUUUUGAAACUGUCUCGAUGUGGUGCUUGAGGGCCAGAUUGACAGUAGCAGAAUUACUGGAAUGGAUGCUCUAGUGACAUCUGCAUUUGUACAGGGGCGGGGUUGGGCGGGGCGGGGCGGGGUUGGGCAGGGUGUGUUCAGAGUCACUGUACUUACAGUCCAGCCCAGAGCUGCUGGCAGUCAUGCCCAGGGGUCUGCCUUGUGCGUGCUAGCAAGGCUGUGCUGCAGAUCUCACUUCCUGCCCCAGAGUUCUGCUGUAGUAUGUUCGUUUACAGUGAUAGACGGUUCCAUUGUGUACGACGGUCUCUGACUCUAUGCCUACAGUAUUUACAGUGUCAAAGAUUAAAAGUGUCGCCUGUCCAUUUGGCCGUCACUGGGAAACAGUGCUUCCAACAGUGCUCUGUACGUAACCUGUAAGCAUUUCAACCCCGCCACGCCAGUGUGGCCUGGCGUUACGUUGGCGAGCCAUCUUGUACGUUCUCACUUGGUCCUCGUUCUUCUGCGACCUGAAAUAGUUGUUCCCUCUGCUCUGGGAGCUGGCGGCUGGGGAACAGCAGCAGCUUGUCUUGUAAGGUCCUGCCAGGAGGGCAACAAGUGACUAUAAGGAGGCUGUUAGUGAGCCUCUGACAGCUUGUGAACUUGCUGUAAUUAAAACAAAAACUUCCCUGUUUCCUGUUUGGUUUUCUAUUUUUUUUUUUUAAUGCUGAAAACACUUUAUAAUAGGGUCUCAACCACUGAAAUACCAACCCUCCAGUUGCCAUCAGGGGUGACUCACUUUAAGGCCCCUGCAUCAGUGUUUGGCUCCUAAAGGGACAGAGAAGGAAAUGGAUCCAGUGCCCUGGAAGGUCUGGAUUAGCUGUAGACAGCAAGAGAGGCCCAGAGAGCUUCAAAUGUACGGUGGCCACCAAGCCCCACAACUGGGCUUUGGGGCUUGGAGCCCACAUGGUGGGAGGAGAGAACCAGCUCCCACAGUUAUCUCUGACCUCCACAUGUGCGCCAUGGCUUUUGCAUGCCUGCCCCACACAGCAAAUACAUUAAUUUUUUUCAGUCUAAAUGAAAAUUUAAUUUACCCACUUAAAUAUUUUGUUGUCUUUAAGGCCAUGCCAUUUUGCAAGAUGAAGUUUGUCCUAACUUCCUCUAUCUCAACUGAGUAUUUGCCUUUCUGUAGUCUUGUCUCACUGUCCGGGAAGGAUUUUACAAUAAUAAAAAUUUAAAGAGAG
rnacentral:lncRNA from 1 species